rnacentral:lncRNA from 1 species
GGACGAUGUCCGUAGUCUUUCGGAACACCGGAUGUUACUCGAAAUACAUCUGUUCUUUCUAUGGCCACCUUUAAUAUACAUGUGCAAUAGCUAAUUAAUUGACCUGUUGCAUAAGCAUUAACAUCUUAAAGUUGAUAUAGAGAUAUUAUGUCACAUAUGAUGCGAAAUUUAUAAUGUAGCAAGCUACUUUAAUGAGCAUUUGAAUACUUCCUUGCUCGCAAUUACAAGCUGCUGAUAUUUACCUUACAUAUAUGCGUAGUUAUUUUAAUUGGAGUCAAACGUUGAAACCAGCUGUGUUAAGAUAUGAGAUAAGAUUUCAUGUAAAUAAUGCGAUUUAUAUUCGGAAACGAGAUUUGUCAAAACUAAAAUCUAUAACAGUAGUAUUACUAGCUUUUUUAUUUAGAUUACGAGUCUAGGGAAGAUGUACAUGAUGUACAAAGCAGGCUAUUUUUUUUUUCUCAUACUGAAAUUAAAAGGAAGUCUUUCUUUCUACCUCAGGAAUAGAUUAUCUUAGCUGUAUUUGGCAAAACUUUUAGGAAUUGCACAUGUUGGCCCUCAAUGCUCUUCAACUUCGUACUCUAUUUGGCGCCUUUUUAACAAUUUUCAAUUCGCGCGUCACUGAUGAGUCUUUUAUGGACAAAACGUGCGUCUGGCUUGAAUAUAAAAUAACAAUCCUGGUAUCUAUGAUGAGUUUAUUUGCACUUUAUAAAAAUUUCACGUCUAGGAUAGACCAAGGACGUAUAUAAUCUA